UUGUACACACCGCCCGUCACACCAUGGGAGUGGGCUGCAAAAGAAGUAGGUAGUUUAACCUUCGGGGGGACGCUUACCACUUUGUGGUUCAUGACUGGGGUGAAGUCGUAACAAGGUAGCGCUAGGGGAACCUGGCGCUGGAUCACCUCCUUAAACGAUGAUUAUUGCGAUGAGUGUUCACACAGAUUGAUGGUUUUGAAGCGAAAGCUUCGAGCUAUUAUUGCUCUUUAACAAUUUGGAAAGCUGACAAAACAACAAUUUAUUGUUGUUUGUAAAGUUCUCAAAGUAUUCAUUUAUGAAUACAACUAAAAACACAUUCAAGUGUUCUUGGAAUUUGAGUCCGGCAAAAUCGAUAUGUCUCUCGCUCAUUCAAAUAAUGAGAGACAACUUUGGUGAUUUGAACAUCAACUCGAAACUCCUUCGGGUUGUAUGGUUAAGUGACUAAGCGUACACGGUGGAUGCCUUGGCAGUCAGAGGCGAUGAAGGACGUAUUAACUUGCGAUAAGCCCAGAUUAGGUAGUAAAAACCAUUUGAGUCUGGGAUUUCCGAAUGGGGAAACCCAAUACCAUAAGGUAUUACUGUUGAGUGAAUACAUAGCUCAACAGGGCGAACCGGGGGAACUGAAACAUCUAAGUACCCCGAGGAAAAGAAAUCAACCGAGAUUCCGAAAGUAGCGGCGAGCGAAAUUGGACUAGCCCUUAAGCUUUAUAGGCGUCAGGUGAACAAGCUGGAAAGCUUGGCGAUACAGGGUGAUAGCCCCGUAACUGACGACGCAUAUUCAGUGAAAUCGAGUAGGGCGGGACACGUGAUAUCCUGUCUGAAUAUGGGGGGACCAUCCUCCAAGGCUAAAUACUACUGACUGACCGAUAGUGAACCAGUACCGUGAGGGAAAGG
rnacentral:sRNA from 1 species